GGGUCAUGGCUCAGUGGGAGAGCAUCUGAUCUCUGCAUGCAGAAGACCUGAGGUUCAAGCCCCCAGCAUCUCCA